rnacentral:lncRNA from 1 species
CAGGCUUUGGGAAUUUAAGACUGAAUAGGCAUGGAGUCAUUUGACCAGUGGGGCUCGUAUUCUUAUGUGAGCUGCACAUGCUAAGAUCUACUUUGUUCCAGAAUUUCCCUGAUAUACGAAGUAAGAAUGUGAUUUCUGCCCUUCUAUCCAGGUCCUAGGGGACUGGGAGCACGUCCAGAGAAAAGCUGGCCAGGUCCAAGUCUUUGACAGAUCCCAGCUGGAAACCAAUGACCAUUCCCCUUCUCCACAAGCUUCCUGAGAAUGCCCAUCGCCCACCCGAGGGAACAAGGCCCCCAGUCCCUUGCAAGAAGCCCAUGGCAGGUUCUGCUCCAGGGAAGCAGCAGCAACACCAUGGAAACUCGGGCUGAGGAGCUGCAUGGGGGGGCCAGCAGGCCAAGGUACGGGGCUCCUUCCCAAGACCCUUCCUCAGUGACCCUGCCAGGAUGGUUUGGAGGGAAGAGACACAGCUGCAGAGUGUGA